AGCAUACCAUGCUGAAUAUGCCGGAUCUCGUUCGAUCACCGAAGUCAAGCAUUAUCAUGCGAGGUCAGUACUUGAGAGCUUGACCACAUGGGAACA